UUUCAAGGCGAAGCUGGCGGCGGAGCGGGAGCGGGUGGAGGAUUUGUUUGAGUACGAAGGGUGCAAAGUGGGACGCGGCACCUACGGUCACGUCUACAAGGCGAGGCGGAAAGAUGGGAGUUGAGGGAGAACUGUAAGAACACCUUGGGAAGCCUUUACUGGUUGUCCUCUUAAGAAGAGCUGGAUAAUGUACUGAGAAUGCCUAUCCUUCCUUGGUCCUGGAGGGCAGACAGCAGCUACAGCAGGACUGGUGGAACCAGCUUCCUGGCAGGAAUUACCCUCCCCCAAGGUUAGGGACCCAGGAAGAUGCACUGUCCAGCAUAGACUUUAAAGAGAAUCAGACUCUACGGAAGGGGAUUGUAACGUAACAUUUCUGAAUAAAGUGAUGAUCAGCCACAAUGACAUUAGUACAAUUUGAAGUGCCGCUUAUCUCUGUGCGCGCUGUUAUAAUUUGAUGUGGUUGGUAUAUGAACUCUAGGACUAAAGUAGGUUGUGUGCGUAUGCACUAAUUUCAUAAAACAACUCUAUAAAGUGUUUUGUCAUAAGGUAUCGUGAAAAUUGCAAAGUACUAUCCAAGUGUAAAGGAUUAUUAUUAUUAUUGCAGAGUUUUUUUUUUUUCUCUUGUAAUAACUGAACAGGCCUUAAGGUACUCAGUUGUUUCUCAUAAUUCCUUUAAUUACCAGGUGUCCUUGAAUGCUUAUCAUGGAAUGUGAGGUACUAGAAUUAACAUAUUUUGAUUUUGGAAUAUCCACUCCACCUGUUAUACUAGUGUUCUUGUGGGAAUUUUAUCAGAUAUAUUUGGGGAAAUCACAUCCAGUUUUCCUGUUUGGACAUUGUUAAUAAAUCUGAGGUGGAUUUUUCCCCUACUCCUCAUGCUAACUUUGUAAUAUACUUUAGGUUUUAAAAAAUGUAUCUUAGUGUUUUUUUUUUGUUAAAAUAGCUUUCUUUUAUUAGGGAACUUUUGAGAAGUUAAGAAUUCUGCUUCUGAAUUGUAUUUGAAUAGUAUGGGCUUACAACAAAAACCAGAUAAUUCCUGCUUCUAUUCUUUUUGAAUAUUUUUCCCCUCUAAUAAAGUACUUGAUUCGAAUACA
rnacentral:sRNA from 1 species